rnacentral:rRNA from 1 species
GUGCCAGCCGCCGCGGUAAUACGUAGGGGGCAAGCGUUGUCCGGAUUUAUUGGGCGUAAAGAGCGUGUAGGCGGCCAGACAGGUCCGUUGUGAAAACUGGAGGCUCAACCUCCAGACGUCGAUGGAAACCGUCUGGCUAGAGUCCGGAAGAGGAGAGUGGAAUUCCUGGUGUAGCGGUGAAAUGCGCAGAUAUCAGGAAGAACACCCGUGGCGAAAGCGGCUCUCUGGGACGGUACUGACGCUGAGACGCGAAAGCGUGGGGAGCGAACAGGAUUAGAUACCCGUGUAGUCC